AUUCGUAAAUCGUGCAGGUACACCACAGAAUAUUUGUGAGGUGCACAAUAAAAUUAAAAAGUUAGGUUAUAUAAGUAACUAGGUACAAUAUGCAUUUUUCAACAAAUUGAGCAGCAGAAUUAUAAAACAGAAGAGUAAUUUGUGUAUAACUAACAACUGUUACAUAAUUUGCAUUGCAUGGAACUGCAGGCUGCCCUGUUUAUCUCUUUAUAAUCAAGAUAUCAAUAAGAUGGAAUUAUAAAAAUGGAGAAUAAGUUACUGGGAGUAUAUUAUUCAUACAAAGUUAUGUGGAACAAAAGUUCUACUAAAAAUGUAUGAAUGGGAACCUUUUUGCUGCAAAAUGUAUUGUACCAAAGAGUAUUUGAUUGUACUUAUACCUACAUAAUUGACACAUGUAGGUACCUUACUAAUAGAAACUAACACACAUGUAGUACAAAUUGUAGUUUAUAAAAACGUUCGUCAAAGUGUAAAAGGUAAUCUACACACGAGCUUUCAGACAAGUUUGUAACGUUAUUUCUUCCGAUUUGUACCACUGAUUUAUGGUGUUCUUACGCUGCUGUAAAGCUUCGUUUUACAUAGAAAUUACAUUCUCAUUUUUAUAACAAUUUCGCCCUACAUGCUUUUUUAUGUCCAGUGUGAGUACAUCACUGGCGUUCAUACCCUUGAGGUUUUCGGGGCUUCCAAUGUUUUCAUCCCACUUGACGAAUCGGUGAAAUGAUUACUCAAUGUAUUGCUUAAGAAAUUUAAUUAAUAGUUUUGCGAUGUAACUUUUUUACAAUAAAGCUCUGAGGUUGGA